rnacentral:lncRNA from 1 species
GACGAAGAAAGGAAAAGAAGGACAGAAGGAAGAUGGAGCCGCUAGAGACGAGCUGGCUCAGCGAGCAGAGAGGCACCUGACGGAGCCAACCUAACGGAUGCAGGCAAACAAGGCCAACGAAAGACGGGUCUUAGAAGGUGAAACUUGAGUUGAGGGUAAAAGUUGAGGGUAAAACGUGAGCUGCAAAGAAGACCGCACAAGGAGGAAAAGCUUCGGCUUGGUGG